rnacentral:rRNA from 1 species
GAACGCUGGCGGCGUGCCUAAUACAUGCAAGUAGAACGCUGGAGAGAGGAGCUUGCUCUUCUUGGAUGAGUUGCGAACGGGUGAGUAACGCGUAGGUAACCUGCCUUGUAGCGGGGGAUAACUAUUGGAAACGAUAGCUAAUACCGCAUAACAAUGGGUGACACAUGUCAUUUAUUUGAAAGGGGCAAUUGCUCCACUACAAGAUGGACCUGCGUUGUAUUAGCUAGUAGGUGAGGUAACGGCUCACCUAGGCGACGAUACAUAGCCGACCUGAGAGGGUGAUCGGCCACACUGGGACUGAGACACGGCCCAGACUCCUACGGGAGGCAGCAGUAGGGAAUCUUCGGCAAUGGGGGCAACCCUGACCGAGCAACGCCGCGUGAGUGAAGAAGGUUUUCGGAUCGUAAAGCUCUGUUGUAAGUCAAGAACGAGUGUGAGAGUGGAAAGUUCACACUGUGACGGUAGCUUACCAGAAAGGGACGGCUAACUACGUGCCAGCAGCCGCGGUAAUACGUAGGUCCCGAGCGUUGUCCGGAUUUAUUGGGCGUAAAGCGAGCGCAGGCGGUUUGAUAAGUCUGAAGUUAAAGGCUGUGGCCCAACCAUAGUUCGCUUUGGAAACUGUCAAACUUGAGUGCAGAAGGGGAGAGUGGAAUUCCAUGUGUAGCGGUGAAAUGCGUAGAUAUAUGGAGGAACACCGGUGGCGAAAGCGGCUCUCUGGUCUGUAACUGACGCUGAGGCUCGAAAGCGUGGGGAGCGAACAGGAUUAGAUACCCUGGUAGUCCACGCCGUAAACGAUGAGUGCUAGGUGUUGGAUCCUUUCCGGGAUUCAGUGCCGCAGCUAACGCAUUAAGCACUCCGCCUGGGGAGUACGACCGCAAGGUU